GCUAACGUAGCUUAAUUAAAGCACAAUACUGAAGAUAUUAAGAUGGGCCCUAGAAAGCUCCGUAAGCA
rnacentral:tRNA from 1 species